rnacentral:lncRNA from 1 species
CCUCCUGUGGUUUCGUAGUUUUUCACUUUGCCCCCCUGUGGUUUAAAAUGUAUCAAUUUGUCCCCCUAUAGUUUCUUUUUUCUCUUUUUCUUAUCAAUUUCAUUAUUUUUUUUUCAAAUCAGUGAUAAAGUUAAAAUUAAAGGAUACUAAAGUGAAUAUUUAAUAAAUCUAGAUGGGUAUCUGAAGUUUUUUGUAUAUAAUUUAAUGAAAUAUUAACGAAAAAACUACUGAAAAGAUAAAAACGAAACCACGUGGGGGCAAUUUGAUACAUUUUAAACCACAGGGGAGCAAAGUGAGAAACUACGAAAUCACAGGGGAGGUUUUUGAAGUUUUCUCCAAAUUAAAAGUUGAGUAGUAAAAUCAAAAUUUUAAAAAAUUAGAUAGUAAACUCAAAACGACUCAUAGUUUAGAUAAAUUUCAUACGUUUUUACCCA